GGACGCCGACAAACCGUCCCGCCCGCUUUCCGGAAGGGGCCCCGGGCGAGUGCAGGCGGAAUUUAGACCCGCCGUCUCCGCCGCGGGACAGAAGUUCCCAUCCCGCUGGGCCAGGAGGAAGGGAACGCAGAGGACAGCAGCAGGGGACGCGGGUGUCCACAGGCUCCCUUCCUAGUCCUACGGGUUCAUAUGUGAGGACAAAUGAGAGUGUGCCCACCUGUGUUCAAGUUUUCUGACACGCGCUAAGGGACCAGGCGUGCGCUGCCAAUGAGACUUUCAAAAAGAGUCAAGUCCUUCGAGCCGGAUUCGAACCAGCGACCUAAGGAUGACCACAGCCACGCACCUACAGUCCUCCGCUCUACCAACUGAGCUAUCGAAGGCUUGACGGUAGGGCUCGUUAGAAUACCUUCAUGUUUCUCCCGCUGGCUUUGUUCGGACUGUUUUUAAAAUAUAAGUGAACGUGCAGGUUUUUUCUAGGGUGCUGGCAAUGUUCUAAAACGGAUGGGGUCGUGAUCAUAGAGUGUAUAUUAAAAAGUUGAUAUCCGUGAAAACUUAA